rnacentral:rRNA from 1 species
GAUGAACGCUGGCGGCGUGCCUAAUACAUGCAAGUCGAACGCGCAGCGAAAGGUGCUUGCACCUUUCAAGCGAGUGGCGAACGGGUGAGUAACACGUGGAUAACCUGCCUCAAGGCUGGGGAUAACAUUUGGAAACAGAUGCUAAUACCGAAUAAAACUUAGUAUCGCAUGAUACAAAGUUAUAAGGCGCUACGGCGUCACCUAGAGAUGGAUCCGCGGUGCAUUAGUUAGUUGGUGGGGUAAAGGCUUACCAAGACGAUGAUGCAUAGCCGAGUUGAGAGACUGAUCGGCCACAUUGGGACUGAGACACGGCCCAAACUCCUACGGGAGGCUGCAGUAGGGAAUCUUCCACAAUGGGCGCAAGCCUGAUGGAGCUACGCCGCGUGUGUGAUGAAGGCUUUCGGGUCGUAAAGCACUGUUGUAUGGGAAGAAAUGCUAAAAUAGGGAAUGAUUUUAGUUUGACGGUACCAUACCAGAAAGGGACGGCUAAAUACGUGCCAGCCGCCGCCGUAA